rnacentral:misc_RNA from 1 species
GAUGAAGAACGCAGCGAAAUGCGAUAAGUAAUGUGAAUUGCAGAAUUCCGUGAAUCAUCGAAUCUUUGAACGCACAUUGCGCCCUUUGGUAUUCCGAAGGGCAUGCCUGUUCGAGCGUCAUUUCACCACUCAAGCCUGGCUUGGUAUUGGGCGCCGCGGUCGAUCCGCGCGCCUCAAAGUCUCCGGCUGAGCUGUCCGUCUCUAAGCGUUGUGAUUUCAUUAAUCGCUUCGGAGUGCGGGCGGCCGCGGCCGUUAAAUCUUUCACAAGGUUGACCUCGGAUCAGGUAGGGAUACCCGCUGAACUUAAGCAUAUCAAUAAGCGGAGGA